rnacentral:rRNA from 1 species
CCUACGGGAGGCAGCAGUGGGGAAUAUUGGACAAUGGGCGCAAGCCUGAUCCAGCCAUGCCGCGUGAGUGAUGAAGGCCCUAGGGUUGUAAAGCUCUUUUGUGCGGGAAGAUAAUGACGGUACCGCAAGAAUAAGCCCCGGCUAACUUCGUGC